UACGGAGGAUGCAAGCGUUAUCCGGAAUGAUUGGGCGUAAAGCGUCCGCAGGUGGCUGUGUAAGUCUGCUGUUAAAGAGUCAUGCUCAACAUGAGAAGAGCAGUGGAAACUACACGGCUAGAGUGCGUUCGGGGCAGAGGGAAUUCCUGGUGUAGCGGUGAAAUGCGUAGAGAUCAGGAAGAACACCGGUGGCGAAAGCGCUCUGCUAGGCCGCAACUGACACUGAGGGACGAAAGCUAGGGGAGCGAAUGGG
rnacentral:rRNA from 1 species